rnacentral:tRNA from 1 species
AGGCUCGUAGGUUAAUGGUAGACCUGGACUCUCCAAAAGUUCAAGUGGAGGUUCGAUUCCUCCCGAGCCUG